rnacentral:rRNA from 1 species
GACGAACGCUGGCGGCGUGCUUAACACAUGCAAGUCGAACGGACAGGCCCUGCGUUUGUGGUGCUCUCGUUUGCCGCACGGGUGAGUGACACGUGUGUAUCCUCCCCUUGACUUUGUGAUAACUUCUGGAAAAUCCGGCUCUUAUCGGAUAGGAGCUCCUGCUCCGUGUUGUGCGUUGGUAAGAUUCGGCCGUUCGGGCUCGACUCGCGGCUUAUCAGCUUGUUUGUGGGGUAGUGGCUUACCAAGGCUUUGACGGGUAGCCGGCCUGAGAGGGUGAUCAGCCACACUGGAACUGAGACACGGUCCAGACUCCUACGGGAGGCAGCAGUGGGGAAUAUUGGACAAUGGGCGCAAGCCUGAUCCAGCCAUACCGCGUGGGUGAUGAAGGCCUUCGGGUUGUAAAGCCCUGUUGUUGGGAAAGAAAAGCAGUAGGUUAAAACCCCGCCGUUCUGACGGUACCCAAAGAAUAAGCACCGGCUAACUUCGUG